ACUCAGCGGUGCACAGUCUCUGUGGCACGUCGUGGGGUCGUGCACUCGUUGAUUUUUGUGAAUUCUACAGCUGAGCCGAAGACACGAGUGUACGAUCGUGUUGGUUUUUACCACUAUUUUACUGAUAUUCCAGCGCAGAACAUACUGACACACAACAGUUUGUCGAGGUUUUUCUCUCUCUUUUCUUUCCACAAACUAACAUUUUCGCUUUCGGUUUUGACUUCUCCUCAUCAGCGCGUUUGGUGCGAUAUUGUUUAUGUGGCGAUACCUACCGAGAAUACCGCAGCGCCUUCUUCAGCCUGAACGGCGGGUAUAAGUAAAUAUGGCUGUAUCUGUGUGAUGAUGUUAAACGAAGGGACUAUUGCAGAAGGUAUACUGUCAGCUGCGUAAUGCCGAUCCUCCCAGGCGAAGAUGUGCCGCCUCCCACAGACGUGUGGCCCUCUCUGCUUGCCAUACUCGCUCCGAGUGGAGGCGCAGCAGGACAGCGCCCACAUUUUCCUCUGUUUCCUGAAGAGAACAGUUCAGCUGAAAAGUUGACACGACCAAGGAAGGAGGCCGAGUUGUGGUGAUUUUUGCCCUUCAUCUACAGUUCCUUUGAACAGGAAAGACUUUUAAACGGCCCUGCUAGCAUGAUGAAUUUACUGAGCACCAUGAAGUCAGCAGUAGGAUUAUUAAUUUUCCUUCUCAGUCAUGAUGCCUCAACGGCAGCUCCAAUAAACAUUGCUUCAGCAUCGACAGAGAAUGCAAGUCCUCAAACAGGCAUUUACCUUGACAUUGGCAUCAUAGCUGGCAUUGUCAUGGUCACUGUGAUUGUCUUUGCCUUGAUAGGAAUGUCUGACCAUGAACAGGAUGACGAACGUGUCAAGUUAAAUAAAGGUACGACUUCAAGCCAGGAAACACGCUGUACAAAAUGUUGCACCAAAUAUUCUGAAUAUUGUUGCAGUCUUUUAUCCUGUUGUUGUUCAGGUUGUGCUGAAUCACUUACCAAAGCUUGUGACAUAUGCUGCAUGUCUCUAGGUUAUGGAUGUAUGGUACCUUUAUAAAGUAUCCUUUGAAUGUUCUAUACAUCAUUUUUACUGUUAUACAGCUAUCCAUGCUCAUGAAAGUAUCUGAAUAUGUUUUGAUAUAACCUUUCUACUCAGUAAACAGACAGCAUUGCUUUACAGUGCAAGCUGCUUCCCUUCAUCCACAUGGACUCAGAAAUUACAUGCUAUUGUUUACACUCUGCAAGCCUUUGGAGCAUAGUUACCAAUGGAAAAAUAUGUUAUGCAAUGUACUAAUUAGUGUGAGCAGUGUGACAGUCAAGAGCACACUUAUAACUGUUCUUGUGAGAAGCCUGUAGAAAGAAAAGUGUUAUUGUGUGACAGUUUUACAGCAAAGGAGGGUGAGAAUGAUACAAUGUAAUAAAAAGCUCAUUGGGAACUUCCCCUUUUGAGCACUUGCAUUUGACGUAUUAGAGUCUGGGACUCCUUAAAAAGAAAGACGUUCUCCAAAAAAGCUGUUUGAGGAUGUAGAGGCGACUGGGAGAGUGAUGAUCUCCAUAAACCAGAGGAGCGAAUGGUGGGAGUCCGGGACUCCGACUUUUCUAGUCCGGGACUAGAGGGCAGCUUGUACAUGUUAAAAGCAAAAGUAAUAAUAAUAAAUUGUUGUUGUUGGGCAAAUAGGUUUUCCAAAAGAAGCUAGAUGCAAGGAAAUGCAAAAACCUAGUAAACCAAAUACGAACUAAGGAAUUAUGCAAAUCAAAAGACAAAAGGAAUUUAUGGUAGAGAAAGGGACAGUGAAGACUACUUUAACUGCAGUUGUCACGCACAUUGGGCACGAGCUUCCUUAGGAAAGAACAAAAGAGGGGGAAGUAAAGCUGGCAAAGAAGGGAGGGAGACGUUCUUAUAUGACCAGGGACUGUUAGCGGAUGCAGGAGUGGAGAAAAAGAGAUGAUCUGCUGAGCCAAUUUGAAAGACGUUUUACACAUGGAGGAUAAUAUACCACAUGUGACCCUAAAAAUUGGGGAAAAGACAUAAUAUUACUCUGUGAUUGUGGACUCACACGGGCAGUAAUCUAAAUGCUAUCUAAUGUUGUCUAAAGAAAUGGGUAAAAAAAACUGUGAAAAUGGAAAAUAGGGAGUCUGGAGAAACAAACUGUGAGUGCUGGAGUCUGUUGCUCAUCCUUAGGCCCUGUAAAUUUGCAGGGGAGAAAUUUAAUGACUGAACUAGGAAUAGAACCAGUAAAAAUAAUCCCCUAAACAUUUUAAAGCCCUCACAAAAGACAGCACCCACUAAAAAAAAGAAAAGAAAAGAAAGGGUGAGCAGAGAUGUAUCUAAAUUCCACGCAUGGAACCAAAUAAUCAUGAGCUGGAGAACAAAGAGUAUGAUGUAACAGCAGUAGCUGAAGUGAAAAGUAUUUAGGAUGAGCAUAUCGAAAAUCCUAACCAGAAGAGAUGUGUUACUGAAUGUUUUUGUUGAUAAACACAGCCUUAAUUAUGUGUAU